GGUAUUUUGACUAUACGAAGGUAUUGAAAUAAGGCUUUAAUUGAGUGCUAAGAGAAUGGUUAAACAAGGACUAACUUUCUUUAAAUUUAUAAUAAAAGUUAAUUUAAAAAUGAAAAAGUUUUUAUUUAUUUUUGGGACAAGAAGACCCUAUGAAUUUUUUUUAAAAAGUUAUUUAUUAUUUUUAAAAGGGAAAAUAAAGUAUUUUUUUAAAUUGGUUGGGGUGAUUUUUAAAGAAUAAUUAUCUUUAAAAAAAGUUGAAAGUAGAACCAUAUUUUGUGGAUAUUUAAUCUAAAUACUCUAGGGUUAACAGCGUAAUUAUUUUGGAUAGUUCAUAUAGAUAAAAUAGUUUGCGACCUCGAUGUGGGAUUAAGAUACUUAUAUAAUGAAGAAGUUAUACUAACGAGUUUGCUCAACUUUUACAACCUU
rnacentral:rRNA from 1 species